rnacentral:lncRNA from 1 species
AUGAUGAAGCGUGCCCUUCUGCCUGUCCUCAGAGAUGGAGAGAAAUACUGGGGUGCCACGAAGUCCACGUCCUCACACAGGGGCCCUGGAUCAUGGCCAGAUAUGAAGAGGAAAUCAAUCUCAUUUUUGGAAGGGUUAGUUCCUGUGAAGAGAAGUUCUGAUGAGAAUAAGAGGGAAGAAAGAUUUCCAAGCUCCAAGGAUGAAUUCAUUUUUAAUGUGAAAUGUCAGCAAGUGAGAAAGAUAUAGGAUGUGCCUAAAAGAAGGAAGAGACAGAGAGACCAUCCUCAAUAGAAUGGGGCUGUAUAGAACACAAAGGAAUAAAGAAGCGAAAGAAAAGAAAGAAAAGAAAAAA